AACGAACGCUGGCGGCAGGCUUAACACAUGCAAGUCGAGCGCCCCGCAAGGGGAGCGGCAGACGGGUGAGUAACGCGUGGGAAUCUACCCAUCUCUACGGAAUAACGCAUGGAAACGUGUGCUAAUACCGUAUACGUCCUUCGGGAGAACGAUUUAUCGGAGAUGGAUGAGCCCGCGUUGGAUUAGCUAGUUGGUGGGGUAAAGGCCUACCAAGGCGACGAUCCAUAGCUGGUCUGAGAGGAUGAUCAGCCACACUGGGACUGAGACACGGCCCAGACUCCUACGGGAGGCAGCAGUGGGGAAUAUUGGACAAUGGGCGCAAGCCUGAUCCAGCCAUGCCGCGUGAGUGAUGAAGGCCCUAGGGUUGUAAAGCUCUUUCACCGGUGAGGAUAAUGACGGUAACCGGAGAAGAAGCCCCGGCUAACUUCGUGCCAGCCGCCGCAGUAAUAC
rnacentral:rRNA from 1 species